rnacentral:lncRNA from 1 species
CCACCAAUUAUAAGCUUGAGUGGGUUUUACAAUCAGUGUUAUUUUCACACAUUAUGUAUAUGUAUGUAUACAUUAUGUGUAUGUAUAUGUGUAUGAAACGAUGUAACUUGACCUGACUUGUUUUCUCCUUCUCUGUCUGUCCCCUUCAGUGCCUGAAUGAUAAAUAGUCUGUUUCUGCAAAAUUUCUUUUCUUUACUGAUCAUGAUAAGAGGACAGUAGCCAGGUGUUACUGCAGCUAUCUUCUCUUGUCGCCACGGAGGCAUAGUCUGCUGUGAUUGGUGGACAGGGCAAGGAGUGAGAGCAGUGACUGCUCCAGUUGAUCUCCAUGCAGUUUACUUGCAUGAUAAAGUGACACUCAAGAGGUGAUAGGAUAAGGUUGCACAAGUUCUCAAGCUCCCUGGAGGAGACAGGGCCCUAAGCCGCUGCUAACAUUGCUUAUGCCUCGGGCCGGGUCAGAUUAUAGUCCAUAUUUUUAGGAUUCUGGACUCGACUUAAACUCCAGCACUGACUAAAUUUGUUCUCAGAAGAUGGAAAGGAGGACUUUGCAAGUUCACCUGCUGUCUUGUUCAGCAACAGUUUCUGCCAGGAUGCCAAAUGAGGUGCAGAAAUGCUGAGAUUUUACAGCAGAUACAAGUGAGAGAAGUGCAACAUCUAUUAAAUGUAUUAGACACCUGUAGUGAUGCCACGGCAGCAGAAAUAAUGAAUUUAUCUUUCUAUUUAGAUAUUGCUGCAUAAAACAUAAAGCCCUCAGUGCAUUUAUAAUUUAAAUCUCCAGACACAGUGAGGGGAUCAGUCAGAAACUGAUGUUGAUGAAUGACAUGUUUUCUACACAUCCACAAUGUCCCACAUGAUCAGCACAGGUUCAGUCAGUGGACAUUUUGGAGUGAAACAGCAGUCUAUCAAAACAAUUUUCACAUCAUAGGGACUUUGCUCUCAUUUGACCCAGAUUUCACUCUUGUGACUUGAGCACUCAAGGCUUCCUGAGUUUAGAGCUACUUGAUUCAUGCUGCAAGUGGCAUAUGCUCGUCCAAAAAGAGUAAGCCAAGCAAGCCUAACUACACCCAACUGUUACUGUAAACCCGCAAAUGGCUCAUUAAACCAAAUAUGGUUCCCAAGGCCAUGUUGCUAAAGGUUAUUUGAAAAUAUUAGUUGAGCUUGCCGCUGGACUAGAAACAAGAAGUGAUGCAGCAACAUGCCAUUAGCUUUAAACUUGAAGACCCACUCUGACGAAAAUCAUGUUUUUCUUGUUUUUCAUAUGUUCUCGUGGCAUUUUUGAUGCUACAGGAAAUAUCAUGAGAAAACUAGAUGUGAAAUUGCUUUUCUGAGUAUUUCCUCAUUCAAAUCGCUGUGAAUCUCUGGUAGACCCAAACGGCAGGUUCAGAAACUGUGAGAUUUCAUGCGUGUAGAAUCCAAGCUCCGCCCCCGGAGCCCCUCUAUGCAGGCCGUACUCUGUAUAUAGAGGAGAAAUACAGAGGACAAUCGCGGAACAAGUGUGUGCGUUAGCGGAUUACAAUGUCUGUAAGAAAGCUAAUUAUGAUAUUAGCUUUCAUCAUGUCCCGAAAGACAUUAGUGUCUGAGAGCUGAAUAGCUGCUAUGUUACCUGCCACUUCUACGACACCGACAAUGUUAGACUACAAGCUAACGUGAAGACGAGUUUUGCAGAGCAGCGUUGUCUCCGCCCACGACUCAGAGGCAAAAUUGCAAGUGAGCUGCUGGAGCUCUGCCGAAGAAAAGCCCUUGAAAAUGACACAGGUAAUGUGAUGUUUUGUAAAAAAAACUUUAUAAUCACAAUUUAAAGACACUUAAGGUAGUGAGAGAGAAAAAAAUUAUUGUAGUACGAGGUUUUUUUUUUUUUGCCAGACUUUGCCAGAGCCAGGCAGUCUGGUUUAAUUUAUCAUAAAGACAGGGCUCUCAAGUCUUGAACUAAGCUUAGGGGGUGGAAGGGUGAAGAGUGAUUAUUAGUAUAAUAAUCUAAUAAAUACAAUGGAGUAUGAGGGCCACAUUAAGUCUUUGAGAUUAAAGUUAUUAUUUAGGAGAAUAAAGUUGUGGAGGAGGGUUCGUUAAAAUCAGCACUGUGGAGCAUUUAGAUGAAUUGUACUUCAGUAUAGGUUCCACAAACAUGGAGAUACUUAAUCCUUUGGUACAUGAGCGUUACACUGUCAUGAGUAUCAGAACUUUAAAAAGAAUAUAUGAGAAAUGCUGCGUUUGUUGAGGGGAAAAUGGCUGGAAAUGGCUGUGCAGAGGCUAAAUUCAUCAAUGCAGCUGUUAAUAGCAAUAGCAGAGGGCUUUAGUUUAUAUAUGAGUUUAUCUGCCAUGAGGUGUUGAGGUCUCUGCAUGUGUAGGUUACUGACUUACUGUAAUCAUCGGGUCUAUCUCAUCCUUAUAAAAACCUGCUCUAUUACGGCGAGUGUCUGUCUUCUUCUGUAGUCAAACCGUAGGAUAUCAAAAUCCACCCGGAUACAGCAAUGCUGCUUUCUGAUUGGCUGUUCAGUAGAUGUACUUUAUCUGAUUGGCUUGCGCGUGGCACGCAGCUUCUUGACUCUCAGAGAAACUCAUUUUAUUCCUAUUUGUUCCAUAGUUAAAGAGGUACAACUUGGUGAACAUCACCAUGUUCAUUUAAAUGCCUGAGACUUGAGAGCCCUGAUAAAGACAUCUUCAUGCUAACUUAAGUUUGGCUGCCAACUUGUUCUAUAAGGAAAUAAUCACGACUUUAACAUAUGAAGACAGUGACAGUAAUUUUGAUGGAGGCAUGAGUGUAGUUGGUCACAGAUAACUGGGUGAGCUGGAUUGGUCAGAGGCCAUCUUGUAUCACUCUCCUACUUGGACGGCACAGGUCUUCAGCAAGAUUACAGGGUUGUCUGCUGCUCACAUACACACUUCCCAUCAGCCCACUCUCCCAUUUUCAAAAAGACUGUCUUCAGGUAAGCUGUUCUGCAGAGAGUGAUUGAGCCGAAAUCACUGCACCUUUUUUCUCUCUUUCUGCUCCAUUUGCUCUCCAGAAAUUUGAGAGCGUUUGCAGUCAGAAAGGAGAAUAAUCCUGUUUAUACCAUUUUUUUUCAAGGUCAUUUUAAUCUAACUGCUUCGCUUUAAUUCAACACAUUGAGGAGCAGAGUUACCAUAUGCUUCAGGGUUUCAGAUACUUUAAUGUAUGCAGUCCAUACUUGCAGCCACUCGUCCCUCUAAAGGACCUGGAACACCUGGGUACUCAGCGCCAGAAUAAAGCAGACUGCUUAAGGAUGAGGAAACUAAGAUUCAACAGAUGGUUAGUUUCUCUAUUUCACAGUAUCCACAGCAGAUGGUAAGGACUCUAACCCUCAGCCCAGGUGGAGAACCAAACAGCCUGGAUUUUAUGUAAGUCUUUUUUUCUCUCUACAAGUUUCUCUGGCUAUUUGUUUGUUUAAAACUUGCCUCUAAUUUCCACCAGAACUCUUAACAAAACUGCUGUGAUCUGUAAAGGUUUCCAUCCCAGAGUCUGUGAAUCUUCAUUUUUAUGGUGCUUUAGUCAGAAGACUAAUGGGUCGAGCCUACGGGGCCCACUAGCACAGCCAGCUGUGGGUGGUAAAACUGGAAAGAUCAAUGGGAUUUAACAUUUAUGCUGUUCCUGUUAAUUAUACCCCAUCCUAAUGGAGGUUUUGUUGGCACAGUCAUAACAAGAGUUGUUUAUGUCUUUGGUGAAGGGUCAUUACUGAGGCCCCUGUUGGAGAUCUAUCCCUUUUUAAUUAUCUCUCCAUUUGUAAAGUCCCGGUCACAUAAGCACUGCAUCAUGCUGUCAGCUGCACUGUUGAACUCUGUAAGGAAGGAGCAAGGUUAAUUAGAUUGUUAUUGCAAGGUUGUAAUAUAUUGAAUCAAAUCUUGUCUGGAAACAAAACAAUAAUUCUGAGUCAUUAAAUCUUCAAGAUGAAUUAAAACUAACAAACUCCUACACUUAAAAUCAACAACUGUAAGCUUUGCUACCUGGAAGACUGUUCAUGUAAAAUUGUAAUGGCUCGGCCAAUCAUGUCAUCUUGUUUUACUUUGAAAUUUUUGGGCGCCGCAGUUAUCAAAACACAAUAUUUUCAUGCUGCCAAUGCAACAAAGAUGCUUCUUGCUGCUGGUUUCUCUAGUGUCCUCUCUGUGGUGGAUAAACUGCAUCUGGAGCAUAUUAAUGCACAUUUAGUCCGCCUUUAUUGCCAACAGACGGAGUGAACGUUAAUACAAUAGUAUUCUUUUUCCUCAGCAUGACAUUUACCCCAUCUCCCUUUCUUCCAUUUAACAAUAAAAAGCUUCAGUUAAAUAGUUUUUAUGAUAAAAGCAAUUGCAGCGACGAUUAAAGUUCCAAGAAUCCUUAAUGAGAUUUGAUUUUGAAGUGUUGAGAAUUCAGAUCCAUACCCACGCACUAUUAUUUCAAAAUAAAUGAAAUCUUUGUCAUAUGAAAAGCCAAUUAAAUCUGUGUUAUCAAAAUAAUAGAUUAUCUUGGAAGUUGGGCUAAAAUGAAAGCAUUAAUGUUGAUUUCCCCGCAGACUUCUGGAGAGCACAAAAGAGGGUUUACACUUCAUGCUGAGAGACGGUUUUGGAGUAAAGCUAAAAGCUCCCCUGUCAGCAGCAAGAAGCUUCAUGUGGUGUUAAGUGCCUCUGCUUGAGUUUAUUGGAAUCGUUUCGGUUUUAAUUAUGGGCACAAAAACCAGCAAAGCUAGUUUAGUGAGACAAAAACCACUGAGCUUUGAUUGUCAGAUCCAUUGUAGUAUACAGUAUAUCAGAGUGAUAAAUAUACCGUAGGUAAAACAAUGUCAACUUUACCACACUCUAUAAUGCAGAUCUUUUAAUCACUGCAGACAUUUUGCCCAGUUGGAACAGGAGGUAACCAGGUGUAAUUAAUAACAUUAAUUAACGUCGCUUUGCUCACUGGACCCACUUCAAGGCUUACUGGAGCAUUUCAAAAGAACACGACCAUAUCUAAUUAACAUUAUUAGUCACACCUGUGAUUCUCUGUCUAUGAAAAGAGCCCACAGGCCAUGAAAAGUCUUUCAAACUGUUGUUCAUGAUUGCACUUCAAAGCCAGGUAUUCUUAUAUUUCACCUGCUGUUCAACAUAGCCAAUUAUUCACAGUUCAUAGAAGGAGAGUUUUAAUCACUGUGGUGUGUAGAUUUCUUACUUAUACUUAUGGUGUUGGGUAAUGAAUGUGUUUGUUGGUCUUUUCCAGCUGCCAACAGGUGGAAAUAUUUGGUUGGACAUUUUCACAGAUCAGACUGUAGUCUAAAAUGUUUAUAUUUUAAUCAUGCUAAAUUAUCCUAUCUUGACCUUUUACAUCGACCUGUGGUUUAUUAGCUUCCUCGUAACAUCAAACAGCAGCUUUAUCAUUUGUAGUAGAUUCAUGCCAUCAGCUUUCCUGCAGACCUGUGUAUGGUUGAUGGUUUCCUGCACCGACACAUUUUCAUUGUGGUUUUUUCUUUCCGUGUAUCGUUUAUACCAUGUCCUCCUACCUAAAUGUACACACUUUAUACAUUCCAGGGCUUUCUCACCCUCUCCUGGCAUUGAACAGAAUCCUUUUUGCUCCUCCGAGAAACCUUGUUGUGCUUUUGUCAUCUCUGAAAGGUUGUGUACUACACUUUUCUUUUGAGGGCACAGCAGACACCUUUGCUUGCCACUCUGCUGUCAUGUCUAGUCAGAAAUUACAAACAAGGCCAUGGUAAUAGCUAGUUUCCUGUUGUUCAAUCUUCUACCCUGGGGAUAAGAGUGUAACUGUGUUGCAAUCUAGGAUGCCAGGACUCUGAAAUGUCUCUCCAUCAUGCUCUGUAUGGAGGAACUGCAUUUCUGCAGCGCUGAUUGAGUUCAAGCCCCCAGACCACAUGCAAUGAUUCAGGCCAGCUCUUUAUGCUUUCCUGUGAAAUGAGGAUCGUGUGUGAUUGACAGGGUGGUAAUAGUUAAUGAAUCAGACCGGAGAUGUUGUCUGCUCAGACUAAAGAAACCAGCCAUUCUACCCCGUGUAUAUUCUGACAGCAGAAACAUGUACUCCUAAGCCUUCAACACGUUCUCUAAUUCAGGUAACAGUGUUCCUCAUCAAGGAAAAAGGUAAAAAGUGACUGAGAUCAGUAUUGGUUAUGUGAUGAGAAGCUACAGAUAAUUCAUUUUCUAUCUGAACACCAUUUAUAUGUCUCUGAUAUAAAAUAGACUGUCAACCCUGAUUUAAACGACUUUUGAUCAAACAAAAGGCGAUACAGCAACAUGUUCACCAGUUCUGCUUGCCAACUCAACAUUCAAGGAACAAAUGUAUACUCAUGUACGCACAUGAAAACCAAUCAGGUUUGUUGAAAAGCAAUGUCCCUACCGCUUUUUGCUCAGUUCUUUUUAUUUACAGUGAUUAAACAAGGGUUAACUGAGUAAUUUGAAGGGUCUGGAUCAUGGGAGUUUAAGGUUGAAGUGAACCUCUGAAAUAUACAACAUUUGAUGAACAUUUUUAUGUGUAGAAAUGGGGAAUUUUUUUUUAGCAAUAUUAGCAGUCAGAUUGUAAAGUUGCAAAGCAGACGAUACUAGAAGGUAAGAAUAGGCCGUUGUGGGUUUUUUCAGGGCUAAAACCAAUUAUUAGUAAUCCAGGAAACCGAUAACUAAUAUUUGGAACCAAUAUUCAUUUGCAGUAAAAAAUGUACAUUUUGGUUUAAAAAUUACACACCUGGGAUUAGACUAAACACAGUACACUGUUCGUUUGUUUUGUACAUUGUGAAAAUCUGUGAUUGAAAAGACCUUAAACAAUUAUUAUGAAUUCCAACAGUAACUAACUAGAAGCUUGAGUGUUGAUUGGCUGGAGAGGGACUAUAUGCGGGACAUAAUUAUAUUAUAACAGCCAAGAGUGGUGUCUCAGGCAGAAAGAGGUGGCUGUGAAAGAGCUGAACGAGUGCAUUUCAGAAUUAACUUAUUUUAUUGGCUAUCAUGGGAGAAAACAGCCAAUGCCGAUUAUUUUAAAAAUAUUCGUGAAUAUUAUUGGCCGUUCCGAUUCUUGGUCAAUCCUUCUAGAAAGAGCUUAACACUGACAUAAAACUGCACAUUGUGAACUUAUUUUAGCUUCAAUGCAAGCACAUCAGAAACUGUGUGCAGCCCUCCAAAACGGUCAUCUUCAACACCAGUGUAAACUACUCUGGAUUUCACUAUUCUUUUUUUUUUUCCUUCUCACAUGCAACCAAGCCACAAGAAUAAGGCACUUAGAAGUUGCCCUUUUAUAAUUUUUUUAUUUUUUAUUUUUUAUUUUUUUGUGUAAGUGAAUUGUUCACAUGUAACAGAAUACAUUAUGAGACCGACCCGUUUUAGAAUAAAAUUAUGAUAGCAGUUUGAGAUUAUAGAUUGAAAAAACCAAACACCAUCAGUGAGUUGAAGGAUUGCACCCACCAGUACUUCACCCUGAGGACACACUGUUGCUGUCACAACUCACAGCAAGAUUUAUCGUCAGCUUAGCAGGCGGGUGUAUGAUUCCCUCACACCUCUCUCCUGACUCAGGGGUCAUUGACAGUGACUUAUGCGAGAGGAGACAGAGGUGUCACAGGGAAAAUAUGUGUGUCAGCUCACAUCAGGUCCAUUCUGCUCCCAUGCAACCUGAUCACAUCUGAAAGAGAGAUUUCCUGACAGUAUUGGUAUGAUACCUCCAAAUCCUGCAGCAGCACCACAAGAAUAUCAUUUAACUGUAAGGAAGAAACAUAAACUUGAUGGGUAAUGUGUUUUUUCUUAAUUUGAGGGUUCAGCUUAUAUAGUUAUCAGCAGCUUUGGUCUUACCAGCAUACAAUAUGUGUGUAUCAUCUUUAUCAGUUUGAUAUAUAUUAGUGACCCUCCCGUAGUUUUUACUACAUUUAUGAAGGUUUCCUGUCUUCAAGAGUCAACAGUGAAGCUGAAGAUAUACUCGUAAACCUUAUGUUUGUGUGGACAAGUGACUGUAAUGAGCUUUAUUGUCUACAUACUUGCAGUGCAAUAUGCAUGUUACUGAUGGGCACCUCCUCUGAACACACCUGAGAACUCAGGCUGUAUGCACCAAACAGAUGUAUAAGAUGUUCACCAAACUUUCCAAGUUUACUGUUGGGUUGAUCCUGACAACAUAUUGAUUUCAAUGGCCUGUUGAGUGAUAAAAUUCCUCAGCCAGCUCAGACAAAUGAUGACCAGUAGACAGACCCCAGUGUCAGCACUGCAUUCAUUUCCUUUCUCUAACAUCCCCGAUUACACAUAGAUUUCUCUGACAAGUUGAAAAAUUAUGCCAUCAGAGAGUAUUUGAUGCACACGUUUGACUUUUU